rnacentral:rRNA from 1 species
UACGUAGGGGGCAAGCGUUGUCCGGAAUUAUUGGGCGUAAAGCGCGCGCAGGCGGUCUUUUAAGUUAGGUGCUUCAGUCUAGGGCUCAACCUUAGGUCGCAUCUAAAACUGGGAGACUAGAGUGUAGGAGAGGAAAGUGGAAUUCCACGUGUAGCGGUGAAAUGCGUAGAGAUGUGGAGGAACACCAGUGGCGAAGGCGACUUUCUGGCCUAUAACUGACGCUGAGGCGCGAAAGCGUGGGGAGCAAACAGG